AUUGAACGCUGGCGGCAGGCCUAACACAUGCAAGUCGAACGAGUGGCGGACGGGUGAGUAAUGUCUGGGAAACUGCCUGCUGGAGGGGGAUAACGACUGGAAACGGUAGCUAAUACCGCAUACCAUCCGAUGUACCCAGAUGGGAUUAGCUUGUUGGUGGGGUAACGGCUAACAAAGGCGACGCUCCCUAGCUGGUCGGAGAGGAUGAACAGCCACACUGUAACUGAGACACGGUCCAGUCUCCUACGGGAGGCAGCAGUGGGGAAUAUUGCACUAUGGGCGCAAGCCUGAUGCAGCCAUGCCGAGUGUAUGAAGAAGGCCUUCGGGUUGUAAAGUACUUGCAGCGGGGAGGCGUUACCCGCAGAAGAAGCACCGGCUAACUCCGUGCCAGCAGCCGCGGUAAUAC
rnacentral:rRNA from 1 species